GACGAACGCUGGCGGCGUGCUUAACACAUGCAAGUCGAACGGAAAGGCGCUGCUUUUGCGGGGUGCUCGAGUGGCGAACGGGUGAGUAACACGUGAGUAACCUGCCCUUGACUGUGGGAUAACUUCAGGAAACUGGGGCUAAUACCGGAUAGGAGCUCCUGCUGCAUGGUGGGGGUUGGAAAGUUUCGGCGGUUGGGGAUGGACUAGCGGCUUAUCAGCUUGUUGGUGGGGUAGUGGCUUACCAAGGCUUUGACGGGUAGCCGGCCUGAGAGGGUGAACGGCCACCUUGGGCCUAAGAGACGGCGCAGACGCCUACGGGAGGCAGCAGUGGGGAAUAUUGCACAGUGGGCGGGAGCCUGAUGCGACAGCCCCGCGUGCGGGAUACCGGCCUUCGAGUUGUGAACCUAUGUGGCCUGUACCGAGGCGUGAGUGACGGUAAUGAGUAAGGAAGCACCGGCUAACUACGUG
rnacentral:rRNA from 1 species